GGCCGCCUAGCGCAACGGAUAGCGCUCCGGCCUCCUAAGCCGGGCAUCCGGGUUCGAUUCCCGGGGCGGCCG
rnacentral:tRNA from 1 species